rnacentral:tRNA from 1 species
AAAGCCUUAGCUUAAUUAAAGUUUCUGUUUUGCAUGCAGAUGAUGUGGGGUAAUACCCCGCAGGUUUUA